GUUACUAAGCGACGUCUGAAUGACCCGGGAGCUCUUCUGAUGGAUCCGUACAUUUAGCCUUUCUGCGCUGCUUAUAAAAUGACAACAAGUGAAAUACUAAAAUAACCAGAGGAACCAUAUAUCCCCGUUGUUUCAGUAGACUGAAAAUACGAGAGUGGACAUGACCACUAGCAUAUCUUGCAUUCUAGCAUCACAAAAUAAAGCGUCACCAUUGAUCCACUAGUUCUAGAUUGAAAGCUCCUCCUCUAGCCAAUCAAUCGAAGAGAUGAAGAUGACAUCAAUGCGACUCAUGGCUACUGAUGCCCACACUCAUACAGGGGAAGAUAACCGUCACAGCUGGCAAUUUCUUUUAUUGUUAAAUCUUUUAUUGUUAAAUUCACCAUUCUAACGACAUCCUGUCACAGUUGUGCCUGUCUGAUGAUCCAUCACUGUUAUAUUCACCUUUUAAUGCACCUCACUGGUCCUGGCACUGCGAAACGCAACUGCCACUAUACACCAGCCUCACAACGUCACUCUUAUAUGUGCCUGGCUCGUCUAUACCUGUGAUAUUGCUGUUAGAUUUUUUUUAUAUGCUUCCUUGUUGUCUCUUCAAUUCCUGUCUUUUGCACUAGAGCAUAUAACAUAUGAAGCCUACAUUACUAAUAUAUUUGCUCGUGAAUACAGUUAAAGAUAUGCCAUCACAAUUGUGUAGAUCAUUGUAUAUUGCUCAUAAUUGUAAACUGUCUGCAUAUUUUGUCAUGUAUUGUUUUCCUGUAAACAGAUUUAUAGAUUUUGUCUUCCAGUAUGUCAUUGACAAGGGUGUUAGUUUAUGAAUUUUAUCACAUUUUAGCACUGAGAUUAUAAAAUUAUAAAGGUAAGCAAUAGCCUAUCACACCAGCAAGAGUG